rnacentral:lncRNA from 1 species
UCGCGAAUACAGUGCUCUGCAGCAUUUCUGCACACACAACGCGAGGAGUGUGUAUAAUAAUGCACGAAGCAGGAGCAGCUCGUGCCGAAUCCAUGACUUUCCGUCUCUUUUUUUCGCGCGCAGUGCAAUAAUAGAUCCGUGGCCAACGACAGCAGCAGCAGCUUUACCAACACAGUCUGCGCAAGGCAGACGACGACGACGACGACGACGACGACGAUGGCUCAUGUAAUCGCCAGAGCAGCAGGCACAGGCCACAGCUGCUGCUGCCGAUGUCGAUGUCUGCUUUAUAUGCGUGUGUUAGUCGAUCAGUCGCGCUGCUAAAGAGAGGCAGGCCGCACAAUACAAAGCAGCACGACAUCAUAACAUCAUUAACAAGUGUAUCAACGGCUAGGCGAGAGCCGUGUACCCGCGAUGGCAGUCUGCGUUUAGAAAUAUAAUCGCCGAUCCAGAUAUAAUAGUGUAUACAGCGCCAGAAUAUCCUGUAGCAUAGAUGGCACAUAGCAUACCUAUUUGACGUGUGUUUGCCACUAUCUGUGAAUCUCUACUGUCCCCGUGGUCUUGUUACGCGCGCGUGUGCCUCUGUCUCUGUGUAUGUGCGUGGCUUUGUGCAGUUGUAUUAUAGUGCACACACACCUCGCGAUAUAACCAAAUGUGCACGUUGCUCGAUGCACUGAUGCUGCUGCAGCUCGCAGCGAUAUAACAGAAACAAGAGAAAGAGAGUGUUUCGUUCUUUCUGCUGUGCGUUGUCGAGUGCCAUUGUCGUGUAUAUGCAACGAUAACAAAAAGUGUGCCAUGCUGGUGCUGCUGUUGCUAAUCGACAUUUCGAGCAGUCGAGUCAUCCAGUAGUUUUACUCGUGCGUGCUACGGUUGUGUGCGUGCGUAAUAUUAUAUAUAGCAUAUUAUAAUACGAAAAAUAUAUACAUCUCUCGCGCGACGUGAAAGGCAGCUCGCCACGGGCACGCACACAAAUACACAAUAGGUUUUGUAAACACUACAAUACGCAAUCUACUCUCGCUGCUGCUGCUACUACUGCUGCUUGUAUAUCCUACAUACACACACACAACAGUAUAUAUUUUUGGUGCAUAAUUCCUCUCUACUCUAAAGAUUACAAGCCAGUGAUAUUCUUCGUUCUCAAGGUGUUCCUUUUCGUGUGUACGUGUGCUGAUACAUAAAGUGUUCUUUCUCUGUCUCUCGUUGCGUAUACGUCUCAAACGCGUGCUCCGAACUCAUAUCUAUACUUUUCUUUUCUUUCGGAGUCGAGAGAAAAAGAUCCCGAAGACAAGGCGAGAUAAAGAGAAUUAGUUUCUGCGAGGUUACGAGAACCAGCAGAGAGAUGCGCGACUCGUGCGCCUUGUACUCGGAGACGGUGCAUCAGCAGCGACGAUCAUCGGUGCAGCAGAAGCAACAGUCUCAACGACGAGCGAUCCUCGUUUUUCGCAACAAGCAUCAACGUCAGCAGCCCCAGAAGGAUGCGUAGCCGUGAAAAAAGCGUCGCAAGCGUAGUCGUUCAUCGUCAUCAACGAGCGUUGCUUCAAUACAAAUUAUAUCAAUCAAGUUUAGGUUUCUACAACGGAAACCAGGAUUAUAAUACCUAACCAUCUAACCAACGAACGACGAGGCGAACACCUUCGUCGCCAAAAGUGCGUCCAAGCUGGCCGCCGUUGAGGAUGAGGGUCCAAGGUGGCCCGGAGUAUCGCC